rnacentral:rRNA from 1 species
GACGAACGCUGGCGGCGUGCUUAACACAUGCAAGUCGAACGGUGAAGCGCCUUCCUUUUUGGUGGGUGUGGAUGAGUGGCGAACGGGUGAGUAACACGUGAGUAACCUGCCCCCUUCUUCUGGAUAACCGCAUGAAAGUGUGGCUAAUACGGGAUAUUCUGGGUCUGUCGCAUGAUGGGUCUGGGAAAGAUAUUGUUUCGGUGGGGGAUGGGCUCGCGGCCUAUCAGCUUGUUGGUGGGGUGAUGGCCUACCAAGGCGGUGACGGGUAGCCGGCCUGAGAGGGUGGACGGUCACACUGGGACUGAGACACGGCCCAGACUCCUACGGGAGGCAGCAGUGGGGAAUAUUGCACAAUGGGCGCAAGCCUGAUGCAGCGACGCCGCGUGAGGGAUGGAGGCCUUCGGGUUGUGAACCUCUUUCGCCAGUGAAGCAGGCCUGCCUCGUUUGUGGGUGGGUUGACGGUAGCUGGAUAAGAAGCGCCGGCUAACUACGCG